CACUCAAAUCAAUUAGCAACGGCCAUAAUGUUACUAAAACCCAUAAAAAUAAUAAUAAUAAAACAUAAUAGAAGAAACCGCUUUACCAGGAAUAUCUGUAAAACAAUUCACUGCAACGGCCGUUCCAUCAGCAAUUAUUGGCAAUAAAUAGUAUUGAAAGCAGAAGUUGUACGAAUACGCCGCUAGACUGAUGUUUCUUCAUGUUAACAAGCGCUGAUGUCAUCGAAGCUACGUUUCGCUAAGCUGUAUAAUCUAGACACCAAUAGCUACUGCAAUUCAAUGUGGAAACUCCUGAGCAUUUGCAGCGCCAGAAGACAAAGUAUGAAUAUGAAUAGCGGCAAAUCUCUGAAGCCAAUCGGAUCGAAUACGUAUAGUCCAUGAUAUACUGCAAUUGAAUACGAUUAUGGCUAUUGAUGCAGUCUCUGGUCAGCUUUUUGUUCCGUAAGUUUUUUCAAAUCACUUCAACAAUGUUAAUAAAAGUUGUAAAUUAGUUCAAUCGUCAUUGAAUAUAAAUAAAAAUGUAAUUUUAUGUGUUCAAGAUUAGAAUCUUGUAAUUUAUGCUAUUGUAAAUUUAUAUAGGAGUAGUGCUUAUACAAAUUAACAAAAAAAAAACUCUAUAACAUCACGGCACAAAAUUCGCCUGAAAAUUUAUAAUUGCAAAUGUAAUUAAAAAGAAAAAAAUUGACAAAUAAAAUAUAUUUUAUGCAUAAAA